CUAUUUGGGGAAACAGGCAGCAGACCAGUCACCUGCUUGAUUAUCAGGGUUGAAUGGGCUGAUCUGGCUGGCUAGGCUGCUGCCCCUGCCUUCUACAUGAUUGCUUGUACUUCCCUCUGGAUGCAAAAAGCUCCAUGGCGAAGGAAGGCAUGCCCAUAUAGAGAAAGACCCUUUUCCAGCCGAGGAAAACAUGAGUAGCCCAGUCUUCUGCUGGAACGUCUAAUGCAGCCUGCAGGAUCACUUUGUAGGAGGAUGUCGAGUAGUCAAUAUUCUAAGAUACCACACACAUACAAAUGGAAUGCUGCAAGCCUAAGUCUGCCUCUCU
rnacentral:snRNA from 1 species